GGGAUAGAUUAUUGCAAUUAUUAGUCUUCAACGAGGAAUGCCUUGUAGGCGCAAGUCAGCAGCUUGCGCCGAAUAAGUCCCUGUCUCUUGUACACACCGCCCGUCGCUGCAACCGAUGGAGGGUCCUGUAAAUUCAUCGGACUGGCAAGCCCCAAAGUGGGGCUGGCCGGAAAGUUGCGUAAAUAGAGCCCUCUAAAGGAUGCAAAAGUCGUAA
rnacentral:ncRNA from 1 species